rnacentral:rRNA from 1 species
UACGUAGGGACCAAGCGUUGUUCGGAUUUACUGGGCGUAAAGGGUGCGUAGGUGGCGGGGUAAGUCUGGUGUGAAAGCUCCGAGCUCAACUCGGAAAAGCAUUGGAAACUAUCCCGCUGGAGGGUCGGAGGGGAGACUGGAAUUCCUGGUGUAGCGGUGAAAUGCGCAGAUAUCGAGGAGGAACACCGAUGGCGAAGGCAGGUCUCUGGCCGAUACUGACGCUGAGGAGCGAAAGCGUGGGGAGCGAACAGG